CUGCUCGCUUCAGCAGCACAUAUACUAAAAUUUGGAAUGAUACACAGAUUAGCAUGGCCCCUGUGCAACGAUGACAGAGAAAUUUGUGAAGCAUUCCCUAUUUUU